UACGGAGGGUGCGAGCGUUGUUCGGAAUCACUGGGCUUAAAGCGCGUGUAAGCGGGUCGUUAAGUGUUGAGUGAAAUCCCUCGGCUCAACCGAGGAACUGCUCGGCAAACUGGCGGUCUUGAGGCAAAUAGAGGCGACUGGAACGACUGGUGGAGCGGUGAAAUGCGUAGAUAUCAGUUGGAACGCCGGUGGCGAAAGCGGGUCGCUGGGCUUGUCCUGACGCUGAGACGCGAAAGCGUGGGUAGCAAACAGG
rnacentral:rRNA from 1 species